rnacentral:misc_RNA from 1 species
AAAGAAAAGGCAUUUGUGGCUCCGAAGUACUCUGUUUCCGUUCCUUAUUUAAUUUCCUGACCAGAUCUAAUCUGAGUAGAAAGGCAUUUCACCAAAAAGAUCAACUUUGUGACUUUUCUAAUCCAUUAUAUACACAGUUCCAAUCUCUAAAUCUUUGUUUAUAUUUGGCUACAUUAUUCUCCAAAUAAAGGGGUCUACUUUUUUUUCAUUUUUGCAUAACUAGUGGCUCUGUUUUCUGGGUAAGUUUCUUUCUUGAUUGUUUCUUGCCAUUUCUAAUUUUCUUAAAACUGGGAUUGGUUAGAUCUCUUAUGCUUUGUGUAGAUCCGUAUUUUCUCUCCAAAAAAGCUUUCUGCUUCUGCAAUUUAUGUUGCGUUUAUGACUAUAGUUUGUUUUGUCAAAUUUGAUAAGUGGGUAUCAUAAAUGGGUGUUGUUCUGAUGCAACUAAAUUCAUUCUUUAUGUUUGCCAAUCUGAAAUGAAAUAGUGCACAUCUUCUCUUGUUUUUUAUUAUUGAUUUGGUUUUAGCAACUCUGUUCUUUCUUUUUUCUGUUAAUCUUCAAGCUUUCUCUGCAGAUUAGAUUUUCUUUGUUUCAUUAAUGCUCAUUAUAUGUGCGUGCUAUUACUUUUAUAUAAUUACAGUUUUUUUUCCCUUUUCUAAUAAUCUUUUGUUAAACUUGCAUGCACUGGUUUUUAAUUAACUUGUUGCUGCUUUAGCAAGUAAUUGAUAUAAACUUGUAGGCAGGUUAUUGGAGGAGAGGAGAGGAGAGAAUUAUUUGCAGGGGGCUAAAUCAUGUUUCGGUCA